CAUGCCGCGGUAAUACAGAGGGUGCGAGCGUUAAUCGGAUUUACUGGGCGUAAAGCGUGCGUAGGCGGCUUUUUAAGUCGGAUGUGAAAUCCCUGAGCUUAACUUAGGAAUUGCAUUCGAUACUGGGAAGCUAGAGUAUGGGAGAGGAUGGUAGAAUUCCAGGUGUAGCGGUGAAAUGCGUAGAGAUCUGGAGGAAUACCGAUGGCGAAGGCAGCCAUCUGGCCUAAUACUGACGCUGAGGUACAAAAGCAUGGGGAGCAAACAGGAUUAGAUACCCCAGUAGUCCCUGUCUCUUAUACAC
rnacentral:rRNA from 1 species